UUCAGUUUCUCAAUCUUUAAUUUUAAUUAAAUUUUAAUUUGUUUAUAUGUACUAUAGAAGAACAUGAACAGGCAUUAGAAAAUGAAUUAGAAAAUGCCCAGGUGGACCUACCAUCCGAGUCUGAGUUGACUAGUGAACAACCCACAACAUCUUCAUGUGGUAUACCAUGCAGGGAAGAAACUACCAGUGUCAUGGGAUUACUACAAACUAUGCAGGAUUCGUCAAUUACAUUAUUUGAUGAUGAAAUAGAAAUCACAUUACAACCACUUGUAACUGACACAGUUUGUCAGGAGGAUGAUGAUGAUGAGACACAAAUAGAGGGACAAACAUCGACACAACUUGAAACACCACAUGUAGAGGAAUCAGAAUGUGAAGAAGAGAUUGAGGAUGCAGAACAAUGCCCGAUAGAUGAACCGG